AACGCACAUUGCGCCCCGUGGUAUUCCGCGGGGCAUGCCUGUUCGAGCGUCAGUACAACACUCAAGCUCUGCUUGGUAUUGGGUCGCGUCAGCAAUGACCGGCUUUAAAAACAUUGGCGGUGCCACCGUGCUCUGAGCGUAGUAAUACUCCUCGCUAUAGAGUCUCGGUGCGUGCUUGCCACUAACCCCCAACUUUCUUAAGUUUGACCUCGGAUCAGGUAGGGAUACCCGCUGAACUUAA
rnacentral:misc_RNA from 1 species